rnacentral:rRNA from 1 species
UACGGAGGGAGCUAGCGUUAUUCGGAAUUACUGGGCGUAAAGCGCACGUAGGCGGCUUUGUAAGUUAGAGGUGAAAGCCUGGAGCUCAACUCCAGAACUGCCUUUAAGACUGCAUCGCUUGAAUCCAGGAGAGGUGAGUGGAAUUCCCGAGUGUAGAGGUGAAAUUCGUAGAUAUUCGGAAGAACACCAGUGGCGAAGGCGGCUCACCUGGACUGGUAUUGACGCUGAGGUGCGAAAGCGUGGGGAGCAAACAGG